CUACGGGUUGCUGCAGUUAGGCAUAAUCUGCAAUGCGCGCAAGCGUGACAGUUUGAAGCAAAGUGAUUUUCACAUGAAAAUCUUUUAUGAAAUGUAAACAGUUUUAUGAAUAAGGACUGGGUAAGACGAGUGCCAGCCGCCGCGGUAAUACUCGCGGUCCAAGUCGCAGCCAUUUUUAUUGGGUCUAAAACAUCCGUAGCUUGCUGUGUAAGUUCCCCGUGAAAUCUCACAUCUCAAAUGUGGGGCGUGCGGGGAGUACUGCAUGGCUAGAGACUGGAAGACGUGAAGAGUACGUUCGGAGUAGCGGUUAGAUGUGUUAAUCCCGGACGGACUUACAAUAGCGAAGGCACUUCACGAGGACAGUUCUGACAGUAAGGGAUGAAGGCUAGGGGCGCAAAAGGGAUUAGAUACCCGCGUAGUC
rnacentral:rRNA from 1 species